rnacentral:lncRNA from 1 species
AUGGCCAUGGGCCACUGUAGCCCAGGACAGCUCUGCUGGGCCUCCCAGCCAGGUCACAGUCUAGCAGCCAGGUCACCAUCCGUGGGCUUCUCUGGGCCUCGAGGCCACUCAGCCCUGGGGGACCCCCACGUGGGAUCUCGGGAACCUUCCUCCCUUGCUCCUGGGGCUCUCCUGCCCUUUCUGCACUGUCCCCUGUGCCCUGUCCCUCCCCUAGGCCUGCUGCCUCAGUCCCCAGAGAGAAGCUGUGUGUACCUGGGGCCUGCCUGCACCUGCCUGUUGCCCUGGAGCCAGCCACCAGUCCUGGGUGUGUACCGGGGGGGCACUCUUCCUUGCAGAGCUGGGGCAGGGGUGCCGGCCUGGUCCUGGACUGGCCAGGCUGGCCUGAGACCCUUUGUGGUUACCAGCAGGGCCCUGUCCCCUUGGGUGGAGGGGGGUAGGGCAGAGAGGCUGGGACUCUCAGAAUAUCAUGGUGGGGGCUUUUUUCUCCAGGAGCCCCCACCCCACUGGAGUGAAUGGGACCUUGGCCUGGACAGCACAGCCCACCCAUGGGUGUGUACAGAUGCACACACACAUGCAUGCCCGUGGCUCACCUCCCCGGUGGCUCCCUCAGCCGUCUGGUUGGGCCCCUUGGGCAGCCGUGUGGCAGGGCUCCAGGCCCGGGGGUGGGCGGCCUCCCGACCUCCAGUGCUCUUCCUCACAGCAGCCUGGGUCGGUCCAAGGUACUGCUGCUCCUGGGGAAGUGCUGUCCUUCCCCGGUACCCAGAAAACGCCUCCCUGCCACCCGCCCACCUUGCCAGGCCGGCUCUGCCAGCCUGGGUGCCGCCCAGGCCACACCCUCUGCCACAGAUUCUGGGACCAGCUGUCCCUCCCACCCACUGUCCGGCGGCGGGUACGAGUGGGCCUCAGAGUCUGACAUCCGCUGUGGCUCUCGUCUGGGUCACUGGCCAGGUGUGGCUUUGGGGGCCACAGCUCUCCAGUCCGUGUGGACAGGAUCGGAGGCCCACCUUCCGAGGUGCAGUGAGGGGUAGAUGGGGUGACGCCAUGUGUGAGACACGUGGAGUGCGCUGUCCCUCCAGAAGUGGCUCACACGUCCCUCUGCUGCCUUCAUCCCUCGGCUGCCCCGCCAUCAGGGAGCCAGAAGGGGUCUCAGGACAAGUAGCUCCACAGGCUUUGGCGGUGGCCCCCUCCCACUGUUAA